GCGAGCGGCGGAUGGGUGAGUAACACGUGGGGAACCUGCCCCUAAGUCUGGGAUACCAUUUGGAAACAGGGUGCUAAUACCGGAUAAUAAAGCAGAUCGCAUGAUCAGCUUUUGAAAGGCGGCGUAAGCUGUCGCUAAGGGAUGGCCCCGCGGUGCAUUAGCUAGUUGGUAAGGUAACGGCUUACCAAGGCGACGAUGCAUAGCCGAGUUGAGAGACUGAUCGGCCACAUUGGGACUGAGACACGGCCCAAACUCCUACGGGAGGCAGCAGUAGGGAAUCUUCCACAAUGGACGCAAGUCUGAUGGAGCAACGCCGCGUGAGUGAAGAAGGUUUUCGGAUCGUAAAGCUCUGUUGUUGGUGAAGAAGGAUAGAGGUAGUAACUGGCCUUUAUUUGACGGUAAUCAACCAGAAAGUCACGGCUAACUACGUGCCAGCAGCCGCGGUAAUACGUGGGUGGCAAGCGUUGUCCGGAUUUAUUGGGCGUAAAGCGAGCGCAGGCGGAAAAAUAAGUCUAAUGUGAAAGCCCUCGGCUUAACCGAGGAACUGCAUCGGAAACUGUUUUUCUUGAGUGCAGAAGAGGAGAGUGGAACUCCAUGUGUAGCGGUGGAAUGCGUAGAUAUAUGGGAAGAACACCAGUGGCGAAGGCGGCUCUCUGGUCUGCAACUGACGCUGAGGCUCGAAAAGCAUGGGUAGCG
rnacentral:rRNA from 1 species